rnacentral:rRNA from 1 species
UACGGAGGGUGCAAGCGUUAUCCGGAUUUACUGGGCUUAAAGGGUGUGUAGGCGGACUUUUAAGUCAGCGGUGAAAUCUCCGGGCUCAACCCGGAAACUGCCAUUGAUACUAUUGGUCUUGAAUGUUGUUGAGGUGGGCGGAACGGGUCAUGUAGCGGUGAAAUGCAUAGAUAUGACCCGGAACACCGAGUGCGAAGGCAGCCCACUAAGCAACGAUUGACGCUGAGGCACGAAAGCGUGGGGAUCAAACAGG